rnacentral:hammerhead_ribozyme from 1 species
GCACUGGUGACGAGUCUCAAACAGGACGAAACGGCUGUCCAGUGC